rnacentral:rRNA from 1 species
GAUGAACGCUAGCGGCAGGCCUAACACAUGCAAGUCGAGGGAGGAGCUUUCGGGCUUCGACCGGCGUACGGGUGCGUAACGCGUAUACAAUCUGACUUUCACAUAUGUACAGCCCGAAGAAAUUUGGCUUAAUACCUCAUGCGAUAUUAGAGCGGCAUCCCAUCUAUAUUAAAGCUGAGGUGGUGAAAGAUGAGUAUGCGUUCUAUUAGCUAGUUGGAGAGGUUACUGCUCCCCAAGGAGACGAUCGAUGGGGGUUCUGAGAGGGAGAUCCCCCACACUGGUGCUGAGGUACGGACCAGACUCCUACGGGAGGGAGCGGUAGGGAAGAUUGGACGAUGGUCGGAAGACUGAUCCAGCCAUGCCGGGUGCAGGAAGACGGCCUUAUGGGUGGUAAACUGCUUUUGCAGGAGAAGAAUAGGGACUACGAGUAGUUUGAUGACGGUACUCUGAGAAUAAGCAUCGGCUAACUCCGUG